rnacentral:rRNA from 1 species
GACGAACGCUGGCGGCGUGCCUAAUACAUGCAAGUCGAACGAACCGCGACUAGGUGCUUGCACUUGGUCAAGGUGAGUGGCGAACGGGUGAGUAACACGUGGGUAACCUACCUCAUAGUGGGGGAUAACAGUCGGAAACGACUGCUAAUACCGCAUAGGACAUAGGAUCACAUGAUUCUGUGAGGAAAGGUGGCGCAAGCUAUCGCUAAGAGAUGGACCCGCGGUGCAUUAGCUAGUUGGUAGGGUAAAGGCCUACCAAGGCGAUGAUGCAUAGCCGACCUGAGAGGGUGAUCGGCCACAUUGGGACUGAGACACGGCCCAAACUCCUACGGGAGGCAGCAGUAGGGAAUCUUCCGCAAUGGGCGCAAGUCUGACGGAGCAACGCCGCGUGAGUGAAGAAGGUCUUCGGAUCGUAAAGCUCUGUUGUUAGAGAAGAACAGCGCAUAGAGUAACUGUUAUGCGUGUGACGGUAUCUAACCAGAAAGCCACGGCUAACUACGUG